rnacentral:lncRNA from 1 species
AGAAAGCCCUCAAAUUAUAUAAGGUUGAAGCUCUAAUGGGAAAUGUUGAUGUCAUCUCAGAAGUCAGAGCUAAUGCUAUGACCAUCUGCCCAAGCGGGAAUCAUGAACUCCAUCCUCCUUAUCCACUGGGAGGUCAGUUCUGCCCUAGAACUGUUACCGAAUAGAGUUGCCCAGGUUCUCGGCCUGUUGAACAAAUAAUUGAACAAAAUGCACAAAGUAACAAAAGAAUGAAGCAACCAAAGCCAACGCAACAGAAUAAGGGAGUAAUGAAAGCACAGAUGUAUUGAAGACAACUCACUGAGUGGGACUGGGCUCCAGCAAGCUGCACAAGAGCCUCUCCAGUUAGGAUUUUUAUAAAGCCAAAAGAACUUGGCAACACCCCUAGGUGCCCUUUAGAGGCCUCCAAUUGGUUACAUCCUAUGAAGGAUUGGCCUGCAACCAAUCAGAGGCUGAAGUAGAAAUAUCUGUCUUGUCACAGGAUUGAAGAUAUGGCCUGUACGCAGCCCAGUCUUGCCUAGAACUGGCUGCACCUGCUGUUCCUUUGCUUAUGCCCCAACCCUUGGCUACCCUAAUUCCCUAUUCUCCUGCCUCAGAACUAUCUUCUGAUCUGUCCAUGUCUUUUACUCCUUUGUCAUUUUUUGGUUGGACUCUAGCAACAAUCUACUGAAUGAUUUCCUUGCUCCAUGUUUCUCUUAUUUCUAACCCACUCUCCUUCUAUACAGUUUCCAAAGAAACAAUUAUGAUCACAUCCCUUUUGUUUGUAAAGACAUCCAAAUCCUUCAAUAUGGAUCCAAAACCCUAAUUAAUCUCCUUUCAGAAUACCUAUUCAUCUUUAUUUUUACCAUACUCCUUGUCCAACCCCAACCUAAUAUUAUGAGCUUUAUGUCAUUCUUCAAACAUGUCAUGCUGUUUAAGUCUCUAUGUCAUUAGAUUUCUUUCUUUCUUUUUUAUUUUUUCUUUUGUGAGAUGGAGUCUCACUCUGUCACCCAGGCUGGAGUGCAGUGGUGUGACCUCAACCCACUGCAAUCUCCGCCUCCCAGGUUCAAGCAAUUCUCCUGCCUCAGCCUCCCAAGUUGCUGGGACUACAGGUGUCUGCCACCACACCCGGCUAAUUUUUGUAUUAUUAGUAGAGACGGGUUUCAACAUGUUGGCCAUGCUGGUCUCAAACUCCUGACCUCAGGUGAUCCGCCUGCCUUGGCCUCCCAAAGUGCUGGGAUUACAGAAGUGAGCCACCGUGCCCAACCAAGCCACUGCGCCCGGCAUCUAUGUCAUUAGAUUUCGAUUUUCUUUUGUUGUUGUUGUUGUUGUUGGUUUGUUUUUGUUUGUUUGUUUGUUUUGAGACGGAGUUUCGCUCUUGUAGCCCAGGCUGGAGUGCAAUGGCAUGAUCUCGGCUAACUGCAACCUCCGCCUCCCAGGUUCAAGCGAUUCUCCUGCCUCAGCCUCCUGAGUAGCUGGAAUUACAGGCAUGGGCCACCAAGCCCGGCUAAUUUUGUAUUUUUAGUAGAGACGGGGUUUCUGCAUGUUGGUCAGCUGGUCUCGAACUCCCGACAUCAGGUGAUCCGCUAGCCUUGGCCUCCCAAAGUGCUGGGAUUACAGGCGUGAACCACUGUGACCGGCCUCGAUUUGUAUAUAUAUAUAUAAUGAAAAAACUUACCUGUGUCUCAUACAAGAUACAAAUUUAAAUUUCUCUUACAUAAAAAAAGCCAAGAAUGAGGCAGUCCAAGGAUGGUGUGGCAGCCCCACAGGUAUCAAGGCCCCAGACUCCUAUUUCUCUGUUUUACCACCCCCAGCACAUGACUUAAGUACACCCCAUAAUUUAAGUACACCUCAUAAUUCAAGGUGGUUUCUAGGACUUCAGCCAUCACAUUUGAGUUCCAGGCUGAAAGCAAAAACAAGAAAAAUAUUCAUUCCUUCCCCUUUAAGAAGACUUCUUGGAAGUCUCACAUAUUUACUCACAUCUCACUGGCCAGAAAUUAGUCACAUUAUUAUUAGUCAGAAUGUAGAUUUUUAACAGGGUAUGCUGUCCCCCUUCCCCCAAAAUAGGGUUUUUGAUAGAAAGAAGUCUUACUCACAGUUUUAGGGGCCAGCUCAAAUGCUUUCAUGCUUUUCUAACUUUUCCAUGCAGAGGAGGUUCCCCUCAUGCUUACCAAACAUUUAGUUUUCAUUAUCGAUUGAUGGAUGGAUGGAUGGAUAGAUAGGUAGAUAGAUGAUAGAUAAUCAAUAAUCAACAGAUAAAUUCAGGUACAAACACACACACAUGCACACACACACAUACACACACACAUAUAUAUAUAAACACUUACGUUUUCCUUAUCAAAGGAGCUCCUUAUAAAUAGAGAUCAUGGCUUACUCAACUUUUUAUCUUGGCACUGAGCAUGGAGUAGGCCUUCAUAAAUGUUUGUUGAAUAAAUGCAUUGAUGCUUACAUAAAUAAACCAGCCGGGCGCAGUGGCUCACACCUGUAAACCCAGCACUUUGGGAGGCUGAGGCGGGUGGAUCACGAGGUCAGGAGUUCAAGGUCAGCCUGGCCAAGAUCGUGAAACCCCGUCUCUACUAAAACUACAAAAAUUAGCUAGGGGUGGUGGCGGGUGCCUGUAAUCCCAGCUACUCCGGAGGCUGAGGCAGGAGAAUAGCUUGAACCUGGGUGGCAG